GUGUCAGCCGCCGCGGUAAUACGUAGGUGGCAAGCGUUGUCCGGAAUUAUUGGGCGUAAAGGGCGCGUAGGCGGUACCUUAAGUCAGAUGUGAAAACCCGAGGCUUAACUUCGGAGGUGCAUUUGAAACUGGGGAACUAGAGUGCAGGAGAGGUAAGUGGAAUUCCUAGUGUAGCGGUGAAAUGCGUAGAUAUUAGGAGGAACACCAGUGGCGAAGGCGACUUACUGGACUGUAACUGACGCUGAGGCGCGAAAGCGUGGGGAGCAAACAGGAUUAGAAACCCGCGUAGUCC
rnacentral:rRNA from 1 species